CAGUCGUACCUUCGGGUAAUCAGCCUUUCGGGUGCGAUUCUGUGGAGUGUGAGGAGCUUAAACACCUUCAUGUUUUGCAUAUUCGUACUCUUGGGUGUACUUGCCCGUGUGGUUGGUUAACAUCAAUUUUGGUGGUCAUAAAAUGACUGGAGGAAUGUAGCUUCGAUCUCGUAUUGAAGUGUUAUAGCCUUCGGUAGAUGUGAUGAUCGAGAUUGAGGAUUGCAACGGAUACCCUUCGGGGCUACCUGUCUGGUCUCUGAUCGUUGCUCUGGUGCCGAAAGCUUGCUUACGGUUAUCAAAGUCGAUGGUCAAUAGGUUAGAACGGGUUAAA
rnacentral:rRNA from 1 species